AGAGUUUGAUCCUGGCUCAAGACGAACGCUGGCGGCGUGCUUAACACAUGCAAGUCGAGCGAUGAAACUACUUCGGUAGUGAAUUAGCGGCGAACGGGUGAGGAACACGUGAGGAAUCUGCCUUCAACACUGGGAUAACUCCGGGAAACCGGGGCUAAUACCGGAUACGAGCCUUGAUCGCAUGAUCGAGGCUGGAAAGCUUUUCGGUUGAAGAUGACCUCGCGGCCUAUCAGCUUGUUGGUGAGGUAAUGGCCCACCAAGGCGACGACGGGUAGCCGGCCUGAGAGGGCGACCGGCCACACUGGGACUGAGACACGGCCCAGACUCCUACGGGAGGCAGCAGUGGGGAAUAUUGGGCAAUGGAGGAAACUCUGACCCAGCGACGCCGCGUGCGGGAUGAAGGCCUUCGGGUUGUAAACCGCUUUCAGUAGGGAAGAAGCGAAAGUGACGGUACCUACAGAAGAAGCACCGGCUAACUAUGUGCCAGCAGCCGCGGUAAUACAUAGGGUGCAAGCGUUGUCCGGAAUUAUUGGGCGUAAAGAGCUCGUAGGUGGUUUGAUACGUCGGGUGUGAAAUUCAGGGGCUCAACCCCUGACCUGCAUUCGAUACGGUCAAGCUAGAGUUUGGUAGGGGAGACUGGAAUUCCUGGUGUAGCGGUGGAAUGCGC
rnacentral:rRNA from 1 species